UUUGCAGAGUAAUGCAUGAGACCAUUGGCCUACAGAGAUGAAUAAAUGAUGAGUGAAUCAAAUGUAUAGAUGGUUCUCACCUUGUAGGAACUCAGAGGAGGAGACAAUAAACAGAUUACAGUAACUCCAUGUAGUCCUGCCAUCUCUGCCUCGGCCUGCUUGAUGCGACUGUCUCCUUUGAGAGCCCUUGAAAAAGCCGCUUGCCCGUCAGAAGCUUUUCCUGUC
ensembl:lncRNA